rnacentral:rRNA from 1 species
UACGAAGGGGGCUAGCGUUGUUCGGAAUUACUGGGCGUAAAGCGCACGUAGGCGGACUAUUAAGUCAGGGGUGAAAUCCCGGGGCUCAACCCCGGAACUGCCUUUGAUACUGGUAGUCUCGAGUCCGGAAGAGGUGAGUGGAAUUCCGAGUGUAGAGGUGAAAUUCGUAGAUAUUCGGAGGAACACCAGUGGCGAAGGCGGCUCACUGGUCCGGUACUGACGCUGAGGUGCGAAAGCGUGGGGAUCAAACAGG